rnacentral:tRNA from 1 species
GUGUUUGUGGCAGAGUGGUUUAUGUCCUUGAUUGUGAAUCAAGAUUACGCGAGUUCAAAUCUCGUCAAACACCCCG